AGAGUUUGAUCCUGGCUCAGAGCGAACGCUGGCGGCGUGGCUUAGGCAUGCAAGUCGAACGUGAAAGCCCGCAAGGGCGAGUAAAGUGGCGAAAGGGUGAGUAAUAUAUCGAUAACCUGCCUUCGAGACGGGGAUAACAGCUCGAAAGGGCUGCUAAUACCCGAUGGCACUAGAUUGAAGCAUUUGGUCUAGCUAAACGGUUGGUCCUUUGAGGGCCUUCUGCUCGGAGAGGAGUCCAUGUCCUAUCAGCUUGUUGGCGGGGUAAUGGCCCACCAAGGCUUAGACGGGUAGCCGGACUGAGAGGUUGACCGGCCACACUGGGACUGAGACACUGCCCAGACUCCUACGGGAGGCUGCAGUCGAGAAUCAUCCGCAAUGGGCGAAAGCCUGACGGUGCGACGCCGCGUGUAGGAAGAAGGCCCUCGGGUUGUAAACUGCUGUCAGAUGCUACGAAUGGUCAGUCGUGAAUAGCGGCUGACUUGACUAAGGCGUAAAAGGAAGUCACGGCUAACUCUGUGGCAGCAGCCGCGGUAACACAGAGGGGGCAAGCGUUGUUCGGAAUCACUGGGCAUAAAGCGCGCGUAGGUGGCUUGGCAAGCGGGGAAUGAAAUCCCAUGGCUCACCCAUGGAACUGCCGUCGAUACUGUCGAACUUGAGGCCGGGAGAGGAAAGUGUAAUUCCUGGUGUAGCGGUGAAAUGCGUAGAUAUCAGGAGGAACGCCGGUGGCGAAAGCGACUUUCUGGCUCGUCCCUGACACUGAGGCGCGAAAGCUAGGGGAGCAAACAGGAUUAGAUACCCUGGUAGUCCUAGCCGUAAACGAUGGGCACUGGGUAGAGGAGGCGUCGAUACCUUCUUUGCCGUAGCUAAUGUGUUAAGUGCCCCGCCUGGGGAGUACGGUCGCAAGGCUAAAACUCAAAGGAAUUGACGGGGGCUCACACAAGCGGUGGAGCAUGUGGUUUAAUUCGAAGCAACGCGAAGAACCUUACCCGGGUUUGAAAUGCACGGAUUAGCUACCCGAAAAGGGAAUGACGCCGCAAGGUGGAACCAGGACAGGUGUUGCAUGGCUGUCGUCAGCUCGUGUCGUGAGAUGUCGGGUUAAGUCCCUCAACGAGCGAAACCCUUGUCUUUAGUUGCCAGCGGGUCAUGCCGGGGACUCUAGAGAGACUGCCGUUGUGAAAACGGAGGAAGGUGGGGAUGACGUCAAGUCAUCAUGGCCUUUAUGUCCGGGGCUACACACGUGCUACAAUGGCCGGUACAGAGGGAAGCAAAACCGCGAGGUCGAGCAAAUCCCACAAAGCCGGCCCCAGUUCGGAUUGGAGGCUGCAACUCGCCUCCAUGAAGGUGGAAUCGCUAGUAAUCGCGGAUCAGCUACGCCGCGGUGAAUAUGUUCCUGGGCCUUGUACACACCGCCCGUCAAGCCACGAGAGCCGGCAGUGCCCGAAGUCCCGUACCUAACCCGCAAGGGAGGGGAGGGCCAACGGUAAGGCCGGUGAUUGGGACUAAGUCGUAACAAGGUAACCA
rnacentral:rRNA from 1 species